rnacentral:rRNA from 1 species
UGUGGGAGUGGGUUGCAAAAGAAGUAGGUAGCUUAACCUUCGGGAGGGCGCUUACCACUUUGUGAUUCAUGACUGGGGUGAAGUCGUAACAAGGUAACCGUAGGGGAACCUGCGGUUGGAUCACCUCCUUA